rnacentral:tRNA from 1 species
AAGGGAGACCUAAUUCCGGUAGGAGACGAAAAAAAAGUAGUCCCAACCAAGAAUCAAUCCCAAAAGGUCGGAACGAGGUAUGAGGCUUUCAAACUAGGUUCUGGGUUCAUAAAAGACCUGAAUCAGGAACAAGGGCUAUUAGCUCAGGUGGUUAGAGCGCACCCCUGAUAAGGGUGAGGUCCCCGGUUCGAGUCCAGGAUGGCCCACCUGCACAGGUGGCAAAAACAAGAGAAGCUCCGAAUCAGCACCUUAUCUUAUAUACAUAUAUAAGAGAGAAUGCUGGCUCUGAGUACAGAGUCCAGAGGAACCUUGAAAACUGCAUAGAGCUAGGUGAAAAAGCCAAAAAAGAAGACCGCAA